UAAUAUGCAUGACAGAAGAAGAGAAGAAAAAGGAUCUGCAUUGUGCGGUGCACUAGCAUUUUUAGUAUAAGUUAAAAGAUUUACUGAAAAGCAAGCGCUAUCCCCUCCCCAGGGCAGCGUCAUUUUAAAGAGGGGUGUCAUCUUUUUUUAAUCUGUCUUCAAACUUAGAAAUGAUUGUGUGGUGAUCAUGUGAAAAUAAUAUGAUGCUGUAUGUUUUCUAGUUUUCAAAAUGGUAUACAUUGUUAGCCCAACAUAUUAAUUUUACACGUUGUAGGUGUUCCAUUCAAGAUGACAAAAACUUGUCAUCUCAAAUGUACAUUUUCUCAUAAAAUCCGAAGUGUAGAUUUUCUUUUUUUUUUUUUCUGCUUUCGAAAGAUGUGUUAAUGCUGAACCGAGAAUCGUAAAGUUCUUCAUGUUGGUUAGUUGAUUUAUUUGCAAUUUCAAUGAAAGCUCCCUUUUUCUGCUCCUUUUGAGUUGAUUUUAGGCAGGAGUAAUCAAACGAAUUGUUUGUAAAAAGUGAAAGUCUGAAAAAACAAGUAGCUUGUGUGUACGUAAAGCACAGGGGUGAGAAAAUCCUCAGCCGGGAAAGAGUUAAAUGAAAUGUUGGUGUGGGCUAGCCUCUGUGUUCAUGAUCCUGAUCCUCUGAUCUUAUAUUGUCACUCCAAUUUGGCAUUUGAUAGCUUCUGUUUGAAGUCACAGAUUUUCUAAUGAGCACAGUAACAUGUUCUUGCCAGUACAUGGGAUGUUCAUAUGCAUGAAUAUUUACUCCUGCCCAGAAGCUAACUUGAUAAAGGCAUAUUAAAAUUUGAUUCUGUAAUUAAAA